GAGUUUGAUCCUGGCUCAGGAUGAACGCUAGCGAUAGGCUUAACACAUGCAAGUCGAGGGGCAUCACGAGGUAGCAAUACUUUGGUGGCGACCGGCGUACGGGUGCGUAACACGUAUGCAACCUUCCUGUAAGUGUGGGAUAGCCUCCUGAAAGGGAGAUUAAUACCUCAUGAUAUGUAUUUGCUGCAUGGCAUUUACAUUAAACAUUUAUGGCUUACAGAUGGGCAUGCGUUCCAUUAGGCAGUUGGUGUGGUAACGGCUCACCAAACCUACGAUGGAUAGGGGUUCUGAGAGGAAGGUCCCCCGCACUGGAACUGAGACACGGUCCAGACUCCUACGGGAGGCAGCAGUGAGGAAUAUUGGUCAAUGGGCGCGAGCCUGAACCAGCCACGUCGCGUGAAGGAUGACGGCCUUAUGGGUUGUAAACUUCUUUUACAGGGGAAUAAAGUGAGUCACGUGUGAUUUUUUGCAUGUACCCUGUGAAUAAGCAUCGGCUAACUCCGUGCCAGCAGCCGCGGUAAUACGGAGGAUGCGAGCGUUAUCCGGAUUUAUUGGGUUUAAGGGUGCGUAGGCGGGAUAUUAAGUCAGCGGUGAAAGUUUUCAGCUCAACCUUAAAAUUGCCGUUGAAACUGUUAUUCUUGAGUGCAGUAGAGGUAGGCGGAAUUCGUUGUGUAGCGGUGAAAUGCGUAGAUAUAACGAGGAACUCCGAUUGCGUAGGCAGCUUACUAUAUUGCUACUGACGCUGAGGCACGAAAGUGUGGGUAUCAAACAGGAUUAGAUACCCUGGUAGUCCACACAGUAAACGAUGAAUACUAGCUGUUUGCGAUAUAUUGUAAGCGGCCGAGCGAAAGCAUUAAGUAUUU
rnacentral:rRNA from 1 species